rnacentral:rRNA from 1 species
AUGGCCGAGAACAACCAUGACGCCGCAGAGGAAGGAGACGGGCAGCUCCUGUCCACGCUCCCGAAGAAGGAAGGAAUGUGGAAGCCAUUCUUCCUCUACCGAGGCUGCUGGCUCACACCCCGGGCCGUGACGAGCAUCACGCUCCUGCAGUCCGAGUUUGCGCCGCGCCCCGACGACGUCGUCCUCGCCACCUUCCCGAACUGGCACUACAUGAACAAGGUGAGCGCCGACUUCUCCCUCGACAUGGACGCCACCUUCGAGCUCUUCUGCGAGGGGUUCUCUCUGUACGGUCCUCUCUGGGACCACGUCCGCGGGUACUGGGAGCAGAGCGUGGCGGAGCCCGACAGGGUCCUCUUCCUCAAGUACGACGACAUGAUGGCCGACGCAGGCAAGCACGUCAAGAUGCUCGCCGAGUUCCUCCGCGUCCCGUUCACCGUGGAGGAGGUUAGCGGCGGAGCCGUGGAGGAGGUCGUGGCCCUGUGUAGCUUCGAGAAUUUGAACAGCCUGCCGGUCAACUCUUCAGGAGUGUCCGAUCGGAUUGGUGGGUUGCCCAUGGAGAAUUCGUCCUACUUCCGGGCUGGGAAGGUGGGGGACUGGAAGAUAACUCCGACUGAGGAGAUGGCAAAGAAGCUGGACGACAUCGUUCAAGAGAAGCUCAGAGGUUCUGGUCUCGCCUUCUGA